UGGGGAAUAUUGGACAAUGGGGGGAACCCUGAUCCAGCCAUGCCGCGUGUGUGAAGAAGGCCUUAUGGUUGUAAAGCACUUUAAGCGAGGAGGAGGCUACUUUAGUUAAUACCUAGAGAUAGUGGACGUUACUCGCAGAAUAAGCACCGGCUAACUCUGUGCCAGCAGCCGCGGUAAUACAGAGGGUGCGAGCGUUAAUCGGAUUUACUGGGCGUAAAGCGUGCGUAGGCGGCUUAUUAAGUCGGAUGUG
rnacentral:rRNA from 1 species